rnacentral:rRNA from 1 species
AGUGAACGCUGGCGGUAGGCCUAACACAUGCAAGUCGAACGGCAGCACAGUAAGGGCUUGCUCUUACGGGUGGCGAGUGGCGGACGGGUGAGGAAUACAUCGGAAUCUACUUUUUCGUGGGGGAUAACGUAGGGACACUUACGCUAAUACCGCAUACGACCUACGGGUGAAAGCAGGGGAUCUUCGGACCUUGCGCGAUUGAAUGAGCCGAUGUCGGAUUAGCUAGUUGGCGGGGUAAAGGCCCACCAAGGCGACGAUCCGUAGCUGGUCUGAGAGGAUGAUCAGCCACACUGGAACUGAGACACGGUCCAGACUCCUACGGGAGGCAGCAGUGGGGAAUAUUGGACAAUGGGCGCAAGCCUGAUCCAGCCAUACCGCGUGGGUGAAGAAGGCCUUCGGGUUGUAAAGCCCUUUUGUUGGGGAAGAAAAGCAGCAGGUUAAUACCCCGCUGUUCUGACGGUACCCAAAGAAUAAGCACCGGCUAACUUCGUG